UACGAAGGGGGCUAGCGUUGUUCGGAAUUACUGGGCGUAAAGGGCGCGUAGGCGGUUCGUCAAGUCCUGUGUGAAAUCCCCCGGCUCAACUGGGGAACUGCACAGGAAACUAGCGGGCUUGAGUUCGGGAGAGGGAAGCGGAAUUCCGGGUGUAGCGGUGAAAUGCGUAGAUAUCGGGAGGAACACCAGUGGCGAAGGCGACUACCUGGCCUGUUCUUGACGCUGAGGCGCGAAAGCUAGGGGAGCAAACGGG
rnacentral:rRNA from 1 species